rnacentral:rRNA from 1 species
AUUGAACGCUGGCGGAAGGCCUAACACAUGCAAGUCGAACGAGUGGCGGACGGGUGAGUAAUGUCUGGGAAACUGCCCGCUGGAGGGGGAUAACUACUGGAAACGGUAGCUAAUACCGCAUACCAUCUGAUGUGCCCAGAUGGGAUUAGCUAGUAGGUGGGGUAACGGCUCACCUAGGCGACGGUCCCUAGCUGGGCUGAGAGGAUGACCAGCCAAACUGGAACUGAGACACGGUCCAGACUCCUACGGGAGGGAGCAGUUGGGAAUAUUGCACAAUGGGCGCAAGCCUGAUGCAGCGAUGCCGCGUGUAUGAAGAAGGCCUUCGGGUUGUAAAGUACUUUCAGCGAGGAGGCGUUACUCGCAGAAGAAGCACCGGCUAACUGCGUGCCAGCAGCCGCGGUAAUAC